rnacentral:rRNA from 1 species
UACGGGGGGAGCAAGCGUUGUUCGGAUUUACUGGGCGUAAAGGGCGCGUAGGCGGCGCAACAAGUCACUUGUGAAAUCUCCGGGCUUAACCCGGAGCGGUCAAGUGAUACUGUCGUGCUAGAGUGCGGAAGGGGCUACUGGAAUUCUCGGUGUAGCGGUGAAAUGCGUAGAUAUCGAGAGGAACACCUGGCGGCGAAGGCGGGUAGCUGGGCCGACACUGACGCUGGAUGCGCGAAAGCCAGGGGAGCGAACGGG